UACGUAGGUGGCAAGCGUUGUCCGGAAUUAUUGGGCGUAAAGCGCGCGCAGGCGGUCCUUUAAGUCUGAUGUGAAAGCCCACGGCUCAACCGUGGAGGGUCAUUGGAAACUGGGGGACUUGAGUACAGAAGAGGAAAGCGGAAUUCCACGUGUAGCGGUGAAAUGCGUAGAGAUGUGGAGGAACACCAGUGGCGAAGGCGGCUUUCUGGUCUGUAACUGACGCUGAGGCGCGAAGGCGUGGGGAGCAAACAGG
rnacentral:rRNA from 1 species